UGGCGAUGAUGACACAAAGGCCGGACUCACGGCUGCUAUCACUUUGGUUGGUUGGUAGUAGAGUGAUGAAAAGUGCUGUAAGGUUUCUGUUCUGAGCCAU